rnacentral:rRNA from 1 species
AAAGGAAUUUCUUCGGAGAGGAAUUUUAUAUGACUGAGUGGCGGACGGGUGAGUAACGCGUGGGCAACCUACCCCACACAGGGGGACAACAGUUGGAAACGACUGCUAAUACCGCAUAGGCGCACAGCUUCGCAUGAAGCAGUGUGGAAAACCGAGGUGGUGUGGGAUGGGCCCGCGUCUGAUUAGCUGGUUGGCGGGGUAACGGCCCACCAAGGCAACGAUCAGUAGCCGGCCUGAGAGGGUGGACGGCCACAUUGGGACUGAGACACGGCCCAAACUCCUACGGGAGGCAGCAGUGGGGAAUAUUGCACAAUGGGGGAAACCCUGAUGCAGCGACGCCGCGUGAGCGAAGAAGUAUUUCGGUAUGUAAAGCUCUAUCAGCAGGGAAGAAAAUGACGGUACCUGACUAAGAAGCCCCGGCUAAAUACGUGCCAGCAGCCGCGGUAAUACGUAUGGGGCAAGCGUUAUCCGGAUUUACUGGGUGUAAAGGGAGCGCAGGCGGCUUGGCAAGUCUGAUGUGAAAGGCUGGGGCUCAACCCCAGGACUGCAUUGGAAACUGUUAGGCUGGAGUGUCGGAGAGGUAAGUGGAAUUCCUAGUGUAGCGGUGAAAUGCGUAGAUAUUAGGAGGAACACCAGUGGCG